GACGUAGGGGGCCAGCGUUGUUCGGAAUCACUGGGUGUAAAGGGUUCGUAGGCGGUGUGGCAAGUCGGGAGUGAAAUCUCUGGGCUCAACUCAGAGACUGCUUCCGAAACUGCUGUGCUGGAGUGUGGGAGAGGCGCGUGGAAUUGCAGGUGUAGCGGUGAAAUGCGUAGAUAUCUGCAGGAACACCCGUGGCGAAAGCGGCGCGCUGGACCACUACUGACGCUGAGGAACGAAAGCUAGGGGAGCAAACAGG
rnacentral:rRNA from 1 species